UGGAGGGAACUCUGAUGCAGCGACGCCGCGUGAGUGAAGAAGGUCUUCGGAUCGUAAAACUCUGUCCUUGGUGAAGAUAAUGACGGUAGCCAAGGAGGAAGCCCCGGCUAACUACGUGCCAGCAGCCGCGGUAAUACGUAGGGGGCGAGCGUUGUCCGGAUUUACUGGGCGUAAAGGGUGAGUAGGCGGUAAUAUGUGUCAGAUGUAAAAGGCUAAGGCUUAACCAUAGUUAGCAUUUGAAACUGUAUUACUUGAGUGCAGGAGAGGUAAGUGGAAUUCCUAGUGUAGCGGUGAAAUGCGUAGAUAUUAGGAGGAACACCAGUGGCGAAGGCGACUUACUGGACUGUAACUGACGCUGAGUCACGAAAGCGUGGGUAGCAAACAGGAUUAGAUACCCUGGUAGUCCACGCCGUAAACGAUGAGUGCUAGGUGUUGGGUAGCGAUACUCAGUGCCGAAGUAAACACAAUAAGCACUCCGCCUGGGGAGUACGG
rnacentral:rRNA from 1 species